AAAAAUAAUAAGUUUAGUGUGAAGAAGUGAUGCUUAAUCAGGAGUUAGAAGAACCGGCUCUUGUGGGACAAGUGUUCCAUUUUGGAUACAUCUCUCUCUCUCUCUUGACGAAACCUUCAUCAAUCUGCUUCUCUCGAUCUUCCGUAUUGGAUUUACUGUCUAAAGUUUCUGACUUUCCGAAGAGGAAGUAGAAGAGUAAGACGAAGAUCAUAGCAACAAAGCAAGAUUGCUCUCUUCUCUGUAGAUAUUCCCCGAUGGGUUGUUUUGGAAGCAGUAAGAAAUCGAGCAAACGAUCAGAGACUUUGAAAACCAGGAAGACCCUCGGUGGUACAAGCGAUCAGACUCAACUCUGUUCAGAUUCCAUAAAAGUUAGUCCAUAUCGAGAUGUAAACAAGGAAGGUGUUGUUGGUAAGGAGGAGGAUCAGUUAGCUCUUGACGUGAAGGGUUUGAAUUUAGAAGACCGACCCACAGGGAAAAAAGCACAGACCUUUACAUUCGAGGAGCUUAAGGUUGCUACAGGGAACUUUAGGUCGGAUUGUUUUCUCGGUGAAUGAGGUUUUGGUAAAGUUUUCAGAGGAACUAUAGAGAAAAUUGAUCAGGCUGUUGCAAUCAAGCAACUUGACCGUAAUGGUGCUCAAGGAAUCAGGGAGUUUGCGGUUGAGGUGUUGACACUUACUUUGAUUGGAGUAGUGUGAUGGAUGAAGAAGAUAAUAGAUCAUGGUUAUGGAGAGCAAGUCUUUGGUGGUAUAAAGGUGAAAGCCGACAGAAAUGAGUCCUCACCUUAUGCUGCUAUGCUUGCUGCUCAAGAUGUCGCUCAGAGAUGCAAGGUUUUUCAUCACAUGGUUCUCAUCUUCCACUCAUUUAAAGGUUUUUCAGAUCUGGAUUUGGAUAUGCAGGUUUUUCAGAUCUGGAAGACUUCUGGGCUAGAAGAAACGACUUCCAGGAAGUCUUCUGACAGAGUCUUCUCCCAUGUCUCCCUUUCAUAAUAUAUCUGAGCGUUUUGGUUUUAAUCAGAUGGUUCUCAUCUUCCACUUGGAUAUGUACUUUGUGUGUUCUAUAAAAGUUUUAUAGAUCUGGGUUUGAUAUACAUGUUUUCAGAUCUGGAUCAGACUUUGGAAGACCUAUGGGAAGUCUUCUCGGAAGUCUUCUAAAAUAUAAUGCGCUAGAAGACUUUCAGAAAGUCUUCCAGGCGACUUCAAAGAAGUCUUCCAGACGACUUCAGACGAUUUCCAGGAAGUCUUCUGACGGGGUCUUUUUCCAUAUCAAGUGGAGUCUAAGCUUGUCUUUGUAGAGGAAUGAUUUAUAAUAGUUUUGUUUGUGGUCUAUUUUGUGAUUUGCAUGUGUACUCCUUUAGUUGUGAUUUUUUGUUUGUAAAUUUGAAGAGAUAUUAAUAUAGAAAGUUUGGUAAA